rnacentral:rRNA from 1 species
GACGAACGCUGGCGGCGUGCCUAAUACAUGCAAGUCGAGCGCAGGAAAUCGACGGAACCCUUCGGGGGGAAGUCGACGGAAUGAGCGGCGGACGGGUGAGUAACACGUAAAGAACCUGCCCUCAGGUCUGGGAUAACCACGAGAAAUCGGGGCUAAUACCGGAUGGGCCAUCGGACCGCAUGGUCCGAGGAUGAAAGGCGCUUCGGCGUCGCCUGGGGAUGGCUUUGCGGUGCAUUAGCUAGUUGGUGGGGUAAUGGCCCACCAAGGCGACGAUGCAUAGCGGACCUGAGAGGGUGAUCGGCCACACUGGGACUGAGACACGGCCCAGACUCCUACGGGAGGCAGCAGUAGGGAAUCUUCCACAAUGGACGAAAGUCUGAUGGAGCAACGCCGCGUGAACGAUGAAGGCCUUCGGGUCGUAAAGUUCUGUUGUAAGGGAAGAACAAGUGCCGCAGGCAAUGGCGGCACCUUGACGGUACCUUGCGAGAAAGCCACGGCUAACUACGUGCCAGCCGCCGCAGUAA